UACAGAGGCCUCGAGCGUUAGGCGGAAUCACUGGGCUUAAAGCGUGUGUAGGCGGGUGCCUAAGUACCUUGUGAAAUCCCCCGGCUCAACCGGGGAACGGCUGGGUAUACUGGGUGCCUUGGGUCAUCUAGGGGCUGCCGGAACAAAUGGUGGAGCGGUGAAAUGCGUAGAUAUCAUUUGGAACGCCAACGGCGAAAGCAGGCAGCUGGGGAUGCACCGACGCUGAGACACGAAAGCCAGGGGAGCGAACGGG
rnacentral:rRNA from 1 species